rnacentral:rRNA from 1 species
UACAGAGGUCUCAAGCGUUGUUCGGAUUCAUUGGGCGUAAAGAGCGUGUAGGCGGCCAGGUAGGUCUGGUGUGAAAACUCGAGGCUUAACCUCGAGAUGUCAUCGGAAACCAUCUGGCUAGAGUCCGGAAGAGGAGAGUGGAAUUCCUGGUGUAGCGGUGAAAUGCGCAGAUAUCAGGAGGAACACCGGUGGCGAAGGCGGGUCUCUGGACAGUUCCUGACGCUGAGGCACGAAGGCCAGGGGAGCAAACGGG